GUGGGGAAUAUUGGGCAAUGGGCGAAAGCCUGACCCAGCAACGCCGCGUGAAGGAAGAAGGUUUUCGGAUUGUAAACUUCUGUCCUCAGGGAAGAAGAAAGUGACGGUACCUGAGGAGGAAGCCCCGGCUAACUACGUGCCAGCAGCCGCGGUAAUACGUAGGGGGCGAGCGUUGUCCGGAAUGACUGGGCGUAAAGGGCGCGUAGACGGCUGUCUAAGUCUGGAGUGAAAGUCCUGCUUUCAAGGUGGGAAUUGCUUUGGAGACUGGAUGGCUUGAGUGCGGAAGAGGUAAGUGGAAUUCCCAGUGUAGCGGUGAAAUGCGUAGAGAUUGGGAGGAACACCAGUGGCGAAGGCGACUUACUGGGCCGUAACUGACGUUGAUGCGCGAAAGCGUGGGGAGCGAACAGGAUUAGAUACCCUGGUAGUCC
rnacentral:rRNA from 1 species